CCUCCGGAUCAACUUUUUCAGAACUCUGGAAAUUGACCAAAGGCUUGCAACCAUCCUGGGUGCAUUUAUUCAAGACAAUCGGCUGGAUGUCAGUAGCAACAGUGAGCUUUGUGACAUUUAGCAUGCUGUAGUCCUAUUCUCCUCUCUCCAACUCCAUGGUAACCUUGAAAUCUAAUGGCCCAGAAUGAUGGUGAAAAGGGUAGCCUGGCAACCACCGGAGGGGGAAGGAACGACGUUGGAGAAUCUUCAAAGCCACAUUCUCAGAUAACUCUCAUUAUUUGACCUGUCUGGUGGGAAGAUCCUGUCUGGAGCAUCCCUAGAAGAUCUUACUUGGAAGUAAACCGAGGCACAGGGACAGAAAGGAGCUCGUCCUAAGUUACAGAGCCAGGAAGGAGUAGGGCCAGCCUUCAAUUCAGCCUGUCGACCCGUGCUCAUAACGUCACAAGGAAUUCGCCCCUGGCCCUAAGGAUUCUGGAAACUUCUGUUCCCCAGCCAGAUUCCCCAGUCAACGUGGACACGUAACUGGAUGGGGCUGUA